UGAGCAAGCCGGCUUACCGCCCUGCCUGUGGCAGGGAGGAAAGUCCGGGCAACUUCAGGAAGCAUACCCCGGGAAAGCCGGGGGGUUUGGCGGAAAGCGCCAAAUACAGAUAGUGCCACAGAAAAAAGGUAGCCCUGACGGUUACCGUCAGGGUGAUAGUGAAAAGGCGGGGUAAGAGCCCACCGCCCCGGUGGUGAACAUCGGGGGCACGGAAAACCUUAUGCGUUGAAAGGUCAAAUAAAUCCCGGCUUUGAAUUUCCUGAUUCAACUCCGACUUGCCUCGGAUGCCGGAUGGGUAGACCGAUUGAUCCCGCGCGCAAGAGCGGGACCAGAUAAAUGGUAAGCCAUCCGCAUGUUGCGGAGGACAGAACCCGGCUUACAGGCUUGCGCUAUAA
rnacentral:RNase_P_RNA from 1 species